GAGCGAAAUUUGUUUGAUUUGAGGAAGUGUAUUCAAUUUUUUGAGUAUAAUCAUCACAUGUUUUUGGGAGAAACUAAAAACAACUUCCUUGCACAAAUUUGACGAACAGCAGAGUGUUCCUGAUGUUGAAUUAAAAUAUUGAAGUUACAUGGAUUAUUUAGGGAAAGUUCGUGAAUACAUUUUGGAAUGGAUUAAAAAUUGUUACAACGAUUUUGAAUGCUAUUAAUACAAAGAUAAAUAUAUUAAACAGUGUAGUGGAAUUUAGCAUU
ensembl:snoRNA T24H10.12 ncRNA